GGUGUGAUCUGGCUUUCUUUGUGUGAUCUGCUGGGGUGUUUUUGUGUGAUCUGCUGCCCUUCAGCUCCAGAGCCAUCCAGGGGCACUGCUGCGAUCCCAGUGGGAAGGAGCAGCUUCCUUAUGGAAGAGCAGGACACAGGCCUCAUCCAGGUGCUGGGAGGGACGGAUCCAGCGAAGGAAGAAACCUGGCGGAGAAGGGGCUGGGGGUGAGCUCAGCCCUGUCCCGCAGGGAAAGGCACAGCAGCUGCCCCUGAGGCAGCCCAGCUGGGAGCUGGGGGUGGAUUUUGGGAGGAUCCCACUCACCCUGCCACAGCUGGAUGCUCUGGGGCUCCACGGAGGGCCAGAUCACCAAGGGGUUGUGCGAGUACAGAGGGUUCAGGAAGGUGCCGUAGGCCGAGGCGUAGGCGUUGUCGAAGAGGGUGAGCAGCAGCUGCUCCCCGAAUUCCAGCGAGAAGGGGAACUGCCGGCUCAGCUGCCACACGCAGUCGAGGAAGAGGAGGAAAACCGGCGCCUCCUG